UUAAAACUCCCUUGUCUGAGGGGCAUGCUAGCUACAACCACAAUCCAAGUUUCAGCGACCAGUUCCACUGCCUGGUGACAGUGAUUGAUGCAAACAAAAUAUCCGCAUUGGAGAAUUCAUCUGCGUGCACGGGUCCGUCCACAUUGGAUAAUUCAUCUGCAUGCACGGGUCCGUCCACAUCGGAUAAUUCUAAGUGCAAGCCUGCGUGUACUGGCUGCCACAACUGUUUCAUUCAUAAGAAGAUGAAGGAGGUUAGAAGCGCUAUAGGAGAUAUCCCCCAGGUAGUGCUCAUGACACAUGUGGAUGAAUGUUGCCCUUUGGUUAAGGCUGAUCUGAAGCAUAUCUACUCAAGCAAGACGAUUAAGCAGACAAUGCAGCGGUGCAGUAAUGCACUUGGAGUCCCCAUGACAUGCAUCUUCCCAGUGAAGAACUAUCACGAGGAAACUGCUGUGGACAGCAAGACUGACUGUUUGAUCCUGGAUGCCCUGGAGAAGAUUGUUCACUUUGCCAAUGACUAUGUGCAGGGGAAAUCAAACUUAAAUGAUAACAAUGAAUAAAAGUGGGAUGUGCAAGGAAUGUGUCAAAAUCACAUUUUGACAAUCAAUUCAUCUCCUAAUACAAGCAAGCCGAAUUAUUCAAUGUGUUGUUGUACAGUUGUAUGGUUGCAUAGAGACCUAUACUGACAAAAUCUAAUACAGUUUGUCCCCUCAAGCAUUUUAGAAUGCACGCUGUACCUCCUGUGGCACGCUGUAAGACAUUGAAAGUUAACUACUAUAGUAGUACACUACUACGACAGUGCACGGGGCCUUUACUAAUACAUUAUGACUUGGUCAUUGCCAUUCUGGUAACAGCUCAUUUAUAAUGCUGUGUCUUAAGGGGUUAAACCCAGGUUA